GACGAACGCUGGCGGCGUGCUUAACACAUGCAAGUCGAACGGAAAGGCCCUGCUUGCAGGGUACUCGAGUGGCGAACGGGUGAGUAACACGUGGGUGAUCUGCCCUUCACCUCGGGAUAAGCCUGGGAAACUGGGUCUAAUACCGGAUAGGAGCCAUUUUUAGUGUGAUGGUUGGAAAGUUUUUUCGGUGUAGGAUGAGAUCGCGGCCUAUCAGCUUGUUGGUGGGGUAAUGGCCUACCAAGGCGGCGACGGGUAGCCGGCCUGAGAGGGUGGACGGCCAAAAUGGGACUGAGAAAAGGCCCAGGCUCCUAAGGGAGGCAGCAGGGGGGAAUAUGGCACAAUGGGCGGAAGCCUGAUGCAGGGAAGCCGGGUGGGGGAUGACGGCCUUCGGGUUGUAAACUCCUUUCGCUAGGGACGAAGCUUUGUGUGACGGUACCUAGAUAAGAAGCACCGGCUAACUACGUG
rnacentral:rRNA from 1 species